rnacentral:rRNA from 1 species
GCUUACGGCCACACCUCCCUGAGCACUGCCCGAAUCUCGUCUGUCUCGGAAGCUAAGCAGGGUCGGGCCCGGUUAGUACUUGUAUGGGAGACCGCCUUGGAAUCAGGUGCUGUAAGCC